ACGUAUGGUGCAAGCGUUAUCCGGAUUUACUGGGUGUAAAGGGAGCGUAGACGGUGAUGUAAGUCUGAAGUGAAAGCCCGGGGCUCAACCCCGGGACUGCUUUGGAAACUAUGUGACUAGAGUGUCGGAGAGGCAAGUGGAAUUCCCAGUGUAGCGGUGAAAUGCGUAGAUAUUGGGAGGAACACCAGUGGCGAAGGCGGCUUGCUGGACGAUAACUGACGUUGAGGCUCGAAAGCGUGGGGAGCAAACAG
rnacentral:rRNA from 1 species